rnacentral:rRNA from 1 species
GACAACGCUGGCGGCGUGCCUAACACAUGCAAGUCGAACGGAGAUUAUAGCAAUGUAAUCUUAGUGGCGGACGGGUGAGUAACGCGUGGGCAACCUACCUCUAACCGGGGGAUAACACAGGGAAACUUGUGCUAAUACCGCAUAAGAUCAUAGGAGGACAUCCUCUAGUGAUCAAAGGAGAAAUCCAGUGAGAGAUGGGCCCGCGUCCGAUUAGCUAGUUGGCGGUGUAACGGACCACCAAGGCGACGAUCGGUAGCCGAACUGAGAGGUUGAUCGGCCACAUUGGGACUGAGACACGGCCCAGACUCCUACGGGAGGCAGCAGUGGGGAAUAUUGCGCAAUGGGGGAAACCCUGACGCAGCAACGCCGCGUGAAGGAUGAAGGUUUUCGGAUUGUAAACUUCUUUGAUGAGGGACGAAAGAAAUGACGGUACCUCAAAAACAAGCCACGGCUAACUACGUG